UGGGAAGUAGCUUAACUGGUAAAGCCCGUGACUUUGAUUCACGUGAGUGCAGGUUCGAACCCUGCCUUCCCAA
rnacentral:tRNA from 1 species